GUGGGGAAUAUUGCGCAAUGGGGGCAACCCUGACGCAGCCAUGCCGCGUGAAUGAAGAAGGCCUUCGGGUUGUAAAGUUCUUUCGGUAGCGAGGAAGGCAUUUAGUUUAAUAGACUAGGUGAUUGACGUUAACUACAGAAGAAGCACCGGCUAACUCCGUGCCAGCAGCCGCGGUAAUACGGAGGGUGCGAGCGUUAAUCGGAAUAACUGGGCGUAAAGGGCACGCAGGCGGUGACUUAAGUGAGGUGUGAAAGCCCCGGGCUUAACCUGGGAAUUGCAUUUCAUACUGGGUCGCUAGAGUACUUUAGGGAGGGGUAGAAUUCCACGUGUAGCGGUGAAAUGCGUAGAGAUGUGGAGGAAUACCGAAGGCGAAGGCAGCCCCUUGGGAAUGUACUGACGCUCAUGUGCGAAAGCGUGGGGAGCAAACAGGAUUAGAAACCCCAGUAGUCC
rnacentral:rRNA from 1 species